rnacentral:lncRNA from 1 species
UAUUGAUCUUACUGAAGCUGACUGUGAAACCCCAUUUGGGGACAGCAUUUGGUGCUCAGUGCAGGGGUGUCUCCAGCCUCAGGACCCCCUGGAUUUCUGAUUUCUGCCUCCUUUCCGUGGCUCUCAUUCCCCUUUGGUCCUCAUGUUCUGACCCCCCCCUUGUCCUGUGGUGGGACAGCUUGCAGGAUUACCAGAUCCUCAGUCUUGGAGGAAAAAAAAAAGGAAAAAAAAAGUGGAAGAGAGAACAUUUACUCAGGUAGCAAAGGACUAUUAUGGGCUGGAAAUGUUCUCUGCCACCCUGGCCUGGUGCCAGCGGGACAGUGACAGACAGUCGCACAGCUUGCCAGCCGCCGAGCUGCCACGUUUCCAGGCUCGGGGACUCCUCCAGGGUGAAGGAGGUGCAUGCAAAGUGGUGCUUGCUGAUGAACCUGGUACCGGGUCACCUUGAGAUGGGGAUUCUCAGCUGGGCUCAGCUGCGGGCAGUGCUCCUAGAGAAACCUCUGAGCUGCCUUCAGACCAUCCUGUCCGCUGCCAUCCCGUGCCUCUGGAAAUGAGAUCCCGCUGCUCACGUCAGGUUUCCCCCAGGAGCCACGUUGCUGCCUGCUCUGGGUCUCAGAUUCAGCCAGAGAGAAAUGGAGAGUUUCUAACCAGGCAGAAGCCUGUUGGAAAAGAAUGGAAAUAAUUCUUUAUUUCUCUUGUUGUUUGCAUUGUUUGUAGUUAAGUUUUAUCAUUUUGCGUCAAGCACUCUGCACCAGCAGUGUAGGUUGUUUUCACUUUAGGAUCAAUGGAGUUGGUCUGCAUGAAACUCUAUGUAAAGAGCAGUGGAUUUUGAAUAAAAUCGGAGUUUUACUCUCAAGAACCUUUGGAGUCAGAGUCUUUUCGUUCCCGUCCUGCCCCAACAGUGUGAGCCUGCCCUGGCUCCCUGGGGCAGCAGGGCUGGGCUGCCCUGGCUGCCUCCUCCCUCCCCUUCUCCCCUUCCCCUCCCCGCUGUGCUGCUUUCCUGGGCUGCAGAAAGAGGCAGGAUUUCAUGGCAUGCUGGCAGCGUGCAAACAGCUCUGGGGAAAUAAGUUAUGGUUUCAUUUUCAUGGGGUGGCUCCCUCUUCAUGGCAAAGGAAUACUUCUGGUUUAGCUCGAGCAGUAACAGCACAACUGACACGUUUCUUUUUUCAGGAAAGAAGUGAGGAGGACACAGAGAAAUCCUUCCUUUGCCUCCUCGGUUUUUUUAGUGACUGUUUCUACUGUGGCAGUACCAAAAGUGCUGCGUAAAGUGACAGGAGGACUGUUACAGGCUGCGGCAGGCUCAGGAACCAGUUAUUUCAUGUCCUCUCUUUAGAGGUGAGCGCUAAUCUUACCCUUUCCUUUAAGAGGCUGUAACACAAGAAGACACUUAUUUGUACCUGCUGUCAUCUGCCUCUUCCUUUCGGUAUUAUUUUAAGUGAGCCUUGAAAGAGCAGGGCUGGAAAGAGCCCCCAGCUGCCUGCUGGCACUGCGCAGUGAGGCUCCCGUUUGUCCUCACAGGCUCAGAUUCCCCAGAUCCAACAGCUUCUCCCUCCCUCCACAAGGAGGAUCCUCACCUGGGAGGCACCACAGCCUCUAAGACAUUUUAUAAUAGUUUUCAUUAUUACAUUUUUCAUUAUUAAAUGAAAAUAUUAUUUAUUUUAUAAAUAUGAUAUAUUUCUAAAUAAUAUCAUAAAUAUUAUAUAUUAAAUAAAC